rnacentral:rRNA from 1 species
AUACGGAGGGUGCGAGCGUUACUCGGAGUCACUGGGCGUAAAGCGUCCGUAGGCGGUCGGGUAAGUCGGGUGUGAAAGCCCCGGGCUCAACCUGGGAAGUGCACCCGAUACUGCUCGACUCGAGUGCGGGAGAGGAUGGCGGAAUUCCCGGUGUAGCGGUGAAAUGCGUAGAGAUCGGGAGGAACACCAGUGGCGAAGGCGGCCAUCUGGCCCGCAACUGACACUGAGGGACGAAAGCGUGGGGAGCAUACAGGAUUAGAAACCCUAGUAGUCC